rnacentral:misc_RNA from 1 species
GCUUACCUAUCCCGAUGGUAUUGGACGGCCUCGUGCUUGUUUUCAUCUCGUGUUCUUUUUGGGCAUGGGAUGGACUAGCUGGAGCUUUGCGUGUUCCUUUGUAAGCCGUUGGCUUAUUUCUCGGCCCACGCUUAGUUGCCUGACCCUCGGAUGCUGAGAAUUGAGUGGGCAAAGGGGGGUUGAAAACCCCCUUUUGAUGAGCCCAGGCCUAGCACUCGUUGCUCGAACCGAAAGACGUUGUGGCUCGCGUUGGCAUUCUUGAACCAUGUGUUCUCGUAAUGGCCAUGCGUUGUCCCAUUUGUCCCGAGGAAAGCUACCUGGUUGAUCC